UACGAAGGGGGCAAGCGUUGUUCGGAAUUACUGGGCGUAAAGGGCUCGUAGGCGGCCAACUAAGUCACACGUGAAAUCCCCAGGCUUAACCUGGGAACUGCGUGUGAUACUGGAUGGCUUGAAUUCGGGAGAGGGAUGCAGAAUUCCAGGUGUAGCGGUGAAAUGCGUAGAUAUCUGGAGGAAUACCGGUGGCGAAGGCGGCAUCCUGGACCGACAUUGACGCUGAGGAGCGAAAGCUAGGGGAGCAAACAGG
rnacentral:rRNA from 1 species